rnacentral:rRNA from 1 species
CGGUCUGAUUAGUGGCGAACGGGUGAGUAACACGUGAGUAACCUGCCCUCCACUUCGGGAUAACCUCGGGAAAUCGUGGCUAAUACCGGAUAUGAAUCCUUGUCGCAUGGCGGGGGUUGGAAAGAUUUAUCGGUGGGGGAUGGACUCGCGGCCUAUCAGUUUGUUGGUGAGGUAAUGGCUCACCAAGACGAUGACGGGUAGCCGGCCUGAGAGGGCGACCGGCCACACUGGGACUGAAACACGGCCCAGACUCCUACGGGAGGCAGCAGUGGGGAAUAUUGCACAAUGGGCGAAAGCCUGAUGCAGCGACGCCGCGUGAGGGAUGACGGCCUUCGGGUUGUAAACCUCUUUCAGUAGGGAAGAAGCGAGAGUGACGGUACCUGCAGAAGAAGCGCCGGCUAACUACGUGCCAGCAGCCGCGGUAAUACGUAGGGCGCAAGCGUUGUCCGGAAUUAUUGGGCGUAAAGAGCUUGUAGGUGGCUUGUCGCGUCUGCCGUGAAAACCCGAGGCUCAACCUCGGGCGUGCGGUGGGUACGGGCAGGCUAGAGUGUGGUAGGGGAGACUGGAACUCCUGGUGUAGCGGUGAAAUGCGCAGAUAU